rnacentral:rRNA from 1 species
CCUACGGGUGGCAGCAGUGGGGAAUAUUGCACAAUGGGGGAAACCCUGAUGCAGCGACGCCGCGUGAGUGCAGAAGUAUUUCGGUAUGUAAAGCUCUAUCAGCAGGGAAGAAAAUGACGGUAACUGAUUAAGAAGCCCCGGCUAACUACGUGCCAGCAGCCGCGGGAAUACGUAGGGGGCAAGCGUUAUCCGGAUUUAAUGGGUGGAAAGGGAGCGUGGACGGCAGCACAAGUCUGGAGUGAAAUGCCGGGGCUUAACCCCGGAACUGCUUUGGAAACUGUGCAGCUAGAGUGCAGGAGAGGUAAGUGGAAUUCCUAGUGUAGCGGUGAAAUGCGUAGAUAUUAGGAGGAACACCAGUGGCGAAGGCGGCUUACUGGACUGUAACUGACGUUGAGGCUCGAAAGCGUGGGGAGCAAACAGGAUUAGAUACCCUAGUAGUC